rnacentral:rRNA from 1 species
AAGGAACUCGGCAAAAUGCCUCCGUAACUUCGGGAGAAGGAGGACCCCAUCAGGGUGAAGGACCUCGCGUCCGGAGCCCGAAGGGGUGACACAGACCAGGGGAAAGCGACUGUUUACUAAAAACACAGCAGCGUGCGAAGUCGUAAGACGAUGUAUACGCUGUGACGCCUGCCCAAUGCCGGAAGGUUAAAGGGAAAGGUUAGUCCGCAAGGGCGAAGCUUUGAACUGAAGCCCCGGUGAAUGGCGGCCGUAACUAUAACGGUCCUAAGGUAGCGAAAUUCCUUGUCGGGUAAGUUCCGACCUGCACGAAUGGCGUAACGACUUUCCUACUGUCUCAACCACAGACCCGGCGAAAUUGAAGUACGAGUAAAGAUGCUCGUUAGCUGCAGAAGGACGGUAAGACCCCGUGGACCUUUACUAUAGCUUGAUGUUGAGUUUUGUUAUGUGUUGUGUAGGAUAGGUGGGAGACUUGGAAGCAUUGGCGCCAGCCAGUGUGGAGUCAACCUUGAAAUACCACCCUGCUCAUGACGGAGCUCUAACCCACGUCCCUGAUCGGGAUGGGGAACAGCGUCUGGUGGGUAGUUUGACUGGGGCGGUCGCCUCCUAAAGAGUAACGGAGGCGCCCAAAGGUUCCCUCAGGCUGGUUGGCAAUCAGCCGUCGAGUGCAAUGGCACAAGGGAGCUUGACUGCGAGACCUACAAGUCAAGCAGGUGCGAAAGCAGGGCAUAGUGAUCCGGCGGUUGCGUGUGGAAGCGCCGUCGCUCAACGGAUAAAAGGUACCCCGGGGAUAACAGGCUCAUCUUCCCCAAGAGUCCAUAUCGACGGGAAGGUUUGGCACCUCGAUGUCGGCUCAUCGCAUCCUGGGGCUGAAGCAGGUCCCAAGGGUUGGGCUGUUCGCCCAUUAAAGCGGUACGCGAGCUGGGUUUAGAACGUCGUGAGACAGUUCGGUCCCUAUCCUCUGCAGCCGGAAGGAACUUGAGAAAAUCUGUCCCUAGUACGAGAGGACCGGGAUGGACGCAGCUCUCGUGUGCCAGUUGUCCUGCCAAGGGCACUGCUGGUUAGCGACCUGCGGAAGGGAUAAGCGCUGAAAGCAUCUAAGUGCGAAGCCCAUUUCUAGAUGAGGUUCCUCACUGGGUUAACCAGGUAAGGCCCGUGAUAGACCAACACGUUGAUAGGCCGGAAGUGUAAGCGUGGUAACACGUUCAGCUGACCGGUACUAAUCGGCCGAGGGCUUGGUU